rnacentral:misc_RNA from 1 species
AAAGUCGUAACAAGGUAACCGUAGGUGAACCUGCGGUUGGAUCAUUACCAAAAGUAUGGCUAACUCUGAGGGAUACAGCAAUGUAUCCCCUUCAUGCUUUUUCCGCCUUGUGGAUGCAAGACACUCCACUGAAAAUGCCUCGGCAAUUUCAAGGGUGCGUGAAACAAGAAAGGAGAAUCAUGAUUUCAGCAGUUAUGACCACCACAUUCUGUGAAUUGACUCUGUCUCUGGCGGGUGGGCAGUGCAAACUGCUUGUCAACAUUGCAAGCUUGCUUUAUGCACCUUGCAGUGUCGUGGACACCCCGUCAAACACUUUUAACUUUUGCUUUAUAUAUUUUGUCUGACAUUAAACUGUAUCAAUAUACAAAACAACUUUUGGCAACGGAUCUCUUGGCUCUC